UUAAGUUCAGCGGGUAUCCCUACCUGAUCCGAGGUCAACCUUUGAUGGGGUUGUUUAACGGCACGGCCGUCCCGUCUCGCCAGCGGCUUUUGAUUCACAACGCUGAGAUUCGGUCCGUCCCGCCGGAAGUCAUUGGGGCGCGGGGCGUGUAACGGCCCCGUCGCCCAAUACCAAGCCAGGCUUGAUUGGUGUAAUGACGC
rnacentral:misc_RNA from 1 species